rnacentral:rRNA from 1 species
GAUGAACGCUGGCGGCGUGCUUAACACAUGCAAGUCGAACGAUGAAGCCCAGCUUGCUGGGUGGAUUAGUGGCGAACGGGUGAGUAACACGUGAGUAACCUGCCCGUAACUCUGGGAUAAGCCUGGGAAACUGGGUCUAAUACCGGAUAGGAGCGUCCACCGCAUGGUGGGGGUUGGAAAGAUUUAUCGGUUUUGGAUGGACUCGCGGCCUAUCAGCUUGUUGGUGAGGUAAUGGCUCACCAAGGCGACGACGGGUAGCCGGCCUGAGAGGGUGACCGGCCACACUGGGACUGAGACACGGCCCAGACUCCUCCGGGAGGCAGCAGUGGGGAAUAUUGCACAAUGGGCGCAAGCCUGAUGCAGCGACGCCGCGUGAGGGAUGACGGCCUUCGGGUUGUACACCUCUUUCAGUAGGGAAGAAGCGAAAGUGACGGUACCUGCAGAAGAAGCACCGGCUAACUACGUG